AAUCACAAGGGGUGUCCUGUAUACUGUAGAAACAUUGCUGCCAUAUCUGAUCCUGUCUUGGGAACAUUGUCCAGGUGGCCUCUCUGAGCUGCACAUUUUGUAAUGUUUUACAAAGUAAGAGAUCUUUCAAAGUGAUUUACAAAAUGCUAUAUGAAAUUGCUAAAUGAUUUGGCAACAUUAGAAGUCUCAUGAAUGUACUACACAUCCUUUGCUAAUGCUGUAUAUUUUAAGACUGAGAACCCAUUUCAGAAGUUUACUGUAGUCCUUGAAUGGCAGUGAGAAUUCAGACAUCGCAAAAGAGUUGCAACAACAUAAGCUCUAUUCCCCCAAAAUUUGUGGGGUUUAACAUGGGAUUUGCAUUGCUGAUAUAUUUUUGCUUUUACUAAGAGCUUACAGUAUUAAAAUUGAGAAUAUUGUUUGUGGCAUAGAUUUCUUUAAACAUGGGGAAAACCCCAAAAUGCUCAAUUUUCCUUUCUUUUAUGUAGUUUCUUAGGCUGACUUUGGCUGCAUGCCAGGUGCCCACCAAGCUGUUCUAUCUCUCUCCUUCCAGCUGGACAGGGGAGAGAAAACAAGAUGGAAACCCAUAGGUUGAGAUAAGGCAGUUUACUAAAGCAAAAGCAAAAGUUUGCACGCACACAAGCAAAGAGAGAGAAAAAGAAGGGUUAAUUCUCUCCUUCACAUCGGCAAUGACAUUCAGCCACUUCCCAGGAAGCAGCGGUUCAGCAUGCAUAGGGGUUGCUCCAAAAGGCAAAUACUGUAAAUAACCAAUUCCCCUCUUCCUCUUCCUUCCCUUAGCUUUUAUAUGUGAGCUGAUGCCAUAUGGUAUGGAAUAUCCCUUCGGAUUACUUGGGUCAGCUGUUCUGGUUGUGUCCCGUCCUGGGAUAGUGCCCACCCCUGGCCAAGAAGUUGGGGAAACUGUACUGAUGCUGUGCCAGCUCUGCUCAGCUGCAGCCAACACACUGGUGUGUUACCAGCACCUUUUCAGUCACCAGUGCACAGCACAGCACUGUGAAAGCUGCUCUGUAGAAAUGAAUUUUGUCUCAGUCCUAGAUUAUAGCAGAAAGACUCAGUAACUCAACAACUCUCUCACCAGGUCUACAGAUUUCCCUUCAGAGUGUGUUUUGGACCAAUGGGCCCAGGGUGGAUAUAUUAAUUAAAAAAUAUUCAGCAUUGCAGUUGACUGUUGCUGCUGACAGGAAGGACUUCAAGAACACAACAUCCUAUUGCAAAAUCCCUCACCAGGCUACUGGGAGCCUGCUGCUUGUAACAGGCAUUGCUUACCGCCUCCAUCUCUUUGUUUUACCACAAGCUCACACAUUAAACUUGUGGGGUGUAGAUACGCCCAUGGCUUAUUGCACUGAAAUCCUAAGCUUCUUUUGAUGGCAGCCUGGCUGGUAAGACCAUUUCCUGUCCUUUACAGCAAAAGUCUAUUUCUAUUAUGAAAGAAAUUCCCUGAGCCAGGCUCAGGCAGGCAGCCCUGUGUUAGACACCACAAUCAAUGUGAAGACCCACCAGAGACCUAGUCAGAUCUUCCUUUCUCAGGUCAAGAUGUAGGUAAUUCCAAACAUAUAGCUUUUCAUGUUGCUGCACAUUCCUCAAGUAUCUCUAUUCCUUAAGAAGAAGCUAAAGACUAAAGGUUGCAUUUUAAAGAUCCAAGAUGCUUGGCCAGAGGCAGGAAGUGGUGUGCCACAGCUGGCAGUCUGUGCCAGCGGCCUGGAGCCACACACCCAGGCACACCUCUUCCUCACAAGCAGCCCCUCAAAGGGACAGCAGUAGCUGCUAAGAAGAGGUGACACAAUUUAUACAGACUCAGGUCUGGGAAGAUGCUACAAAUGCUAAAAGAGAGAGCUGAUACCUUUGUCACCUGACAAGGUGCAAUGACAAAGCACUCAAGCACUAUACUCAUGAAACGUAUGCUGACCUGAAAUAACAAAAGAGCUGGCCUCAACAUACUCAGUGCUUCCUCUGAGAAAUGCUACUCCUUCUUCUCCCUCAAAUAUAUCAGAGCCUGCACUAAAUGAAAUUCCCAGUGAAGUCAGGAUGCCCCAGAGCUGCCUCCCAGCCAGCUGUGAUCCUUUCUUGUUGCAAAGGGCUUCGGAGCAACCCCAGUGAAGGACAAAUAUUUGCUCUCUGUCGAGUCUAUUGUCACAUCUGAUGUUGAAAAAAGUCACUUUAAAGUAGGUCCCAAAGGAAGAAAUGCAAACCUUCCCUUCCAGAGUGAAAACGUUUGAAAUACAAAACCAGUAACCUACCUCAAAUGCCAUAAGCAAAAUGCAGCUCUGUGAGAACAGGAAUCCUGGCAAAGAUGACCCACAGACCUUACACCAUUUGCAAGCUCCAUUAUUCCUUUAUUGCCAGCUGCUUACUUUUAGAGCAGCUUCACCAAAUCACACG